rnacentral:sRNA from 1 species
UAGAUAGAUAGAUAGAUAGAUAGAUAGAUAGAUAGAUAGAUAUUGUAAAUGUAUGUCUUUGAAAACAGCAUUUAGUGGCAGCGUUGGAAAACUGUAGCAGAGCUACAGAGGCAGUACCUCAGUGGGUAAACAUAAAGACCUGAAUAGACCCAACACUCAUCAAAAGCUUGGCUUGGCCACCAGCCUAACUAACUCCUGGCUCAGUGAACCUAGUCUUAAGGAAAUAAGGUCAAAAUGAUAGAGCAGGACAUGCGAUGUACACACAACAACCAUACAUACAGGGACUGGGGGACUAAAGCAGGUCAUAAAGAAUCUGAUCUGUAAUUGAACUAAAAACCAAUACAGGACUGUCUGUUCAAAGCUACUGCUUAGUUCUGAUUGAAAGCCUUUCACGGUGUCUUAUAGGGUACUAGAUUAGAAUAUAGUACAGUCAUAUUCUUAUGUGCUCUCACAGGGCAGAGAUUAUAGAGCUCUUAAAGAGCUGAGGACUGCUUGGGCUUUGUGGAUGCAUAAUCCUUAUCAUUACUUUAGUUGCUUAAAACAAUGCAAAUUUAUUAUCUCAGUUUCUGUAAGUGGAAAAUCUGGGUGUGGUGUCUCUUGGUUCUCUGUUUCAGAACUAACUGGCCUUAGGUCAAGGUGUUUAGCCAGAGGUAUCCUCAUAUGGGGUACAUAUCCUCUCCUGCCUAAGGUUGCUGGCAGAAUUUAGUUGGAAAAUGGGGUCUCUAUCUUUCAAGUCUCAUUUCCAGAAUUCAGUUCCUUGCCAUCGUCACCACUUUCUUCCAGAUGAGCUCAUUUCUAACUUGUCUAAAACAAGAUGGAAAAACUUUUCAAAACUCAAGAUUAGGUCAGAACCUCCCUAGUAAACUGGAUAAUCUCUCCAUUUAAAAGUGAACUGGGCCAGGUUUGGUGGUGCAUGCCUUUAAUUCCAGCAUUCUGAAAGAGGUUCUAAGCCAGCCUUGUCUACAUAGUGAGUUCCAGGACAGUCAGAGCUAUAUGAGAGCCUAUGUCUCAGAAAAACAACAAAAUUAAACGGAUUUAAGGCAUAAUUAUAUCUCUAAAAUCUCUUUCCAGGAGGACCUAAAUUUGUGUUUGAUUAACUCCAGGCAGUAAUGUUCUCUCCUAACUGGCCUAGAACUUGCUACGUAGUCCAAGCUUGGCCUCAAACUCACAAAACUCUACCUGUCUCUGCUUCUAAAUGUUGAGAUUAAAGGUAUGAACCAUUACACAUAGCCAAAUCCAGAAAUCUUGAGGCAGAGAAUCAUCAAAGAAUUCCUUAUUCAGUCAAAGCAUGUAGCACACACCUAGUCCCAAGCACUCCAGAAGCUGAGAGUUUGAGGCUAGGCUAGGCUGGGCUGAGUACUGACUGGAAUGCUCCAUUAGAAACAAACAAAAAGGUCCACUUACCAUGCUGCCUACAAAUGCAUUGGCUGUAUCUUCUUUGAGGGAAGGAUAAGCAACUCACAGCAGUCUCCUUUUUAUUAACUAACGAUUCCUUCAGUAGACAUAGAAACACUGCUUUGAUUCUUUAUCAUACACUACUUUCUCUCUGUGUGCAGGUGUCUGGGGCUUACAUCAGGUAUUGGGGUGUGUCUCAGGAACCAUCCACCUUAUAUUUUGAGACCUUUAGGCCAGUCUGACUUGACUGCCCAACAGACCUGAUCCAUCCUCUUCUCUCUGCCUCUCCAGGCACUCGGAUUAAACAUGCAUGCCAUCAUGCUUGGCUUUUUUCUGGGGAUCUAACUCAGAUCCUCUUGCUAUAUAUAAUAAAUGCCUUGCUGACGGAGCUAUUUUCCCAGCCCCUCUAAUGCCUUUUUCUUCUUCUUUUUUUUAAACUGGAAAAUAUAGAUGGGCUAUCUGUUCUUUUCUACCACCAUCUAAAUGAACCACCCAUUUAAGAACAUAAGCAAUCUUCAUAAGUCUUGUGCUAGAUAUCUACUGUAUCUUUCAGAUAACUAGAAAAAAUUGACUUUAAAUUCAACUUCAUAAAUAAUAUGUAGACUCCGUUCUCUAAACGUUGGAUCAUAUGAGCAUAGAGCAGCCUUCUGUGAAUGGGGUCAUUAGCCCUGGUCCUCUUGGUGACCCUCCCCUUCCACUUCACACCAGUUCUUUGUUGCAAAUACAUCAUCUCAUAAUUCUUGAAAGUAGAAGGUGAUCUUAAAUAACCAAAUCUAGUGAUGGUGACCCAUGACAGAAAGAAUAGUUUAUAUUGUAGCCCGUCAUGCACAUGUUCCACUGAAACACUGGGAAUACACAGGAUCAGUUUCGUUGAUUAGUUUUUAAAUGCUACUUACAACACAACAAAGUUUACUUCAACUCAUUUGAAAACUGAGUUUCCUCUUCCUUCCAACUCCAGUCUCAACAACAGAGAGCCGCCCUUUCUUUGGAAGAGGUCUCUUAACCUUGCGAAUCGAGAUAGAAAGUCUUGCAUAUACCAAGGAGGGAGAGGACAAGUUGGAGGGUUUUAGCCCUUGCAACAAUGAUAGAAAGGGAAAAUGGGUUCAUAUCCCAACGAGGUAAGCAGUAGGCUUUAUUUCAGGGAAUUUACUUCAAAUUAAGUUGAAAUUACAGCUCUGAAAUUUGUUAGUACUGUAGUUCUUGAGCCAUAAACUGGUCCAGGUUUCUGCCCUGUACCUACCUUCAGUAAAACUUUGAUACAUAUUACCUUCAUCUAUAGCUGUAUGAAAACAAAUAAUAGUUUAUAUAUUUGAGAGUUGCAAAACUGAGGUUUGACUUGGAGAUUAUGAAAUCAUUUAUCCUGCUGUAAUUUAAAAAUAAUUAGCAAUGCUAACCAAAGUCUUAUCUAAACAAAAAUAUUAAAAUAAUAUUUCAUAUUUAUUUGAUUUGCGUACACAAUGAAAAGUAAGUCUCUGUCCCUCCAAGUCAGCUAGUUUUCCAAAUGCAUUAUACUCCAUUCUGCAGCUGUCUCAGCCUUACCUCAUGCUUACCAACAAGUAAUACAAUGAGAGUGUCUUGCACUUAUGUCAGUAUUACCUCAGGAUCACCUCUGCAAAUGGAAUUGUGGGUGCUAAGUUAAUCUAGAGAUACAAACUGCCCUCUGCAGAUUGCCCACAGCUAAGUAUGUGCUCUCAUUCCACUUUUCCUGUGGUCGUAAAAUGCUGACAUUGACAGCUGUAGUUACUGACAAGGAGCUUAGUUACUGAAGAAAGAAGAAUUCCAUCUUCAGAGCAAUGCUCCGCUGUAAGAUGUUUCUUUUACUUGUUGGUCUCUUGGGGUUUCAGUUUAUAGUGGAGAAAUAUGGGGGUGUAAGAAAAAUUAGCUUAUUAUGAGAUGAGUUGUAAGCAUUUAAAUUUUUUAGCUACUUCUGAUGAAGUUUGCCAUGCAGCAGUUAUUUUUGAAAUAAACCACAAUUUAUCAGUGCUCUGCUGCUUUUGUUUAGUGUCACCCUGUAGUUACCUUUUUAAAGUAUCUGAAUUUCAAACAAAUUCAAUCUUAAAUACUCCAUAAAACUCUUUCUUUACCUUGCUACCUAGAAAGAAAUAAUAGAACAAAUGUGUUAGUUCUCCUUACAUUAAUGCCACCUUUGAAAACUACCUAUUCAAGUAGUCCCUACCUUCACAGUGUGAUUCUAGGAAUCCCGUUGUUCACAACUCAGCAUGAAGAAGCCAUGCUGUGAUAACUGAGGUUUCUUACAGUCUUACUCAAGAUUGAACUGUCAUAAAAUUUGGAAAAAAGAGGUGCUUGCCUCUGGGUGUGUGUUUAUUUUUGUUCAUUUGAGGGUUGGGUAGGGGGCAGUAGCUUUAAAGGCUUCAUUUUACUAUCUCUUUUUUUUUUUAAACCUCCUUCCCCUGCUCUGAAAAAACCAAAGUAUCUGUGGUAAGAUGCCUGGCCUUUCUAUAUCAGAAGUGAUUCAAAGCUAAUCUAUCCUGUCUUUCUACUGAUCAUGCAUUAAAUACCUGUUUUUUAAUACCACUCAUAGGGUCAAAUAAGUGUUCUGUGUACCUGUAAGCUAGAACUCAGAGUUACUUAAAUUACUGUCUCAAUGAGGGUUUGGUUGGUUGGGGUGGGCUGUAUCCUGUGUGAUGUGAUAUGUGUGAUGUGGUGGUAGGGAUUGAGCCCAGGGGCCUUCUGCAUGCAGGGUAAGCACUCUGGCUAAGCUAUGCUUCCAGCCCUCCACAGUAGUUAUAUAGAUAGUGUCUGAUAUGUCCGUGGAUGCUAGUAAACAUGGAAAGAGGACAAACCUAAACUCUUAGCAAUGUUUUGCCCUUAACUGCCCAUGUUUUUCGCUGAAUGAACCAUGGCUGUUACUAGGAAUGAGUUGAGGAUUUCUUUUUUCAGUUCGUGUGUGUGUGUGUGUGUGUGUGUGUGUGUGUGUGUGUGUGUGUGUGUGUGUGUGUGUUAUAUACUCGUGUGUGUGCAGGAGCCACACUGAGAUACAAUCUCACCUAUUAGCACUGGGGUUACAACUGCACCUUUGGUGGCUUCUCACAUGGCACGAGGGAUUUGAGCCUGGUCUUCAUGCUUGUGCAUCAAAGGAUUCUUACCCACUAAGGCAAGGCUGCUUCUUACAAAGCUGUAGCCCACAGUGUAGACUCACAUAACUAAAUGAUAUUCUUUGAGUAUAGAAUAUGACCAGUUAGUAUUUUACCUUUCAGAUAUUCUUAGGUAUCUAUGUCAUUGCAUGCUGUCCAAUAAACAUGAUCUCAGUUCUUAGCCCCACCCCUACCCCCAGCACUUACUAUGAGGAAGAUUUGACUGUAAAGAGACAAAAAAAAAAAAAAAAAAAAAAAAAUUUGCUGUGAUCACGCAAUUCAUAUUAUUGCAGAGUAAAAACAAAUCUAACUCAUCUUUUACUCAAACAUAACCAAUACCCAUUUUAUUUUAAUAUAGUUGAUUGUACAUGUGGUCUUACCAUAGCACUUAGAAAAGGUUUCAUGUUUCACAGUAGUGUAAAUUUUAAUUGUGAUUUCUUGAUAGAACACCCUCCUCCUGAUAGCCCUACUGUACUAAAUGCUUCUCCUAAGAUUCUGGUUGGGACUUACAGUUAAGAGUGAGGAUUGUUUUCUCUUUACUUAACAGUAUAGUUCUUAAGUUCUUGUUAAACUGUGUAACCAACAGUAAGAUUUCUGAAA